rnacentral:rRNA from 1 species
CACGGAGGGUGCGAGCGUUAAUCGGAAUAACUGGGCGUAAAGGGCACGCAGGCGGACUUUUAAGUGAGGUGUGAAAGCCCCGGGCUUAACCUGGGAAUUGCAUUUCAGACUGGGAGUCUAGAGUACUUUAGGGAGGGGUAGAAUUCCACGUGUAGCGGUGAAAUGCGUAGAGAUGUGGAGGAAUACCGAAGGCGAAGGCAGCCCCUUGGGAAUGUACUGACGCUCAUGUGCGAAAGCGUGGGGAGCAAAC